GCAAGUCGAACGGCAGCACGGGUGCUUGCACCUGGUGGCGAGUGGCGAACGGGUGAGUAAUAUAUCGGAACGUACCUUAUCGUGGGGGAUAACGCAGCGAAAGCUGCGCUAAUACCGCAUACGCCCUGAGGGGGAAAGCGGGGGACCGUAAGGCCUCGCGCGAUUAGAGCGGCCGAUAUCUGAUUAGCUUGUUGGUGGGGUAAAAGCCCACCAAGGCGACGAUCAGUAGCUGGUCUGAGAGGACGAUCAGCCACACUGGGACUGAGACACGGCCCAGACUCCUACGGGAGGCAGCAGUGGGGAAUUUUGGACAAUGGGGGCAACCCUGAUCCAGCAAUGCCGCGUGAGUGAAGAAGGCCUUCGGGUUGUAAAGCUCUUUUGUCAGGGAAGAAACAGCAGCUCUAACACAGUCUGCGAAUGACGGUACCUGAAGAAUAAGCACCGGCUAACUACGUGCCAGCAGCCGCGGUAAUACGUAGGGUGCAAGCGUUAAUCGGAAUUACUGGGCGUAAAGCGUGCGCAGGCGGUUAUACAAGACAGGCGUGAAAUCCCCGGGCUUAACCUGGGAAUGGCGUCUGUGACUAUAUGACUAGAGUGUGUCAGAGGGGGGUAGAAUUCCACGUGUAGCAGUGAAAUGCGUAGAUAUGUGGAGGAAUACCAAUGGCGAAGGCAGCCCCCUGGGAUAACACUGACGCUCAUGCACGAAAGCGUGGGGAGCAAACAGGAUUAGAUACCCUGGUAGUCCACGCCCUAAACGAUGCCGACUAGUUGUUGGGAAUUUACAUUCUCAGUAACGUAGCUAACGCGUGAAGUCGGCCGCCUGGGGAGUACGGUCGCAAGAUUAAAACUCAAAGGAAUUGACGGGGACCCGCACAAGCGGUGGAUGAUGUGGAUUAAUUCGAUGCAACGCGAAAAACCUUACCUACCCUUGACAUGUCACUAACGAAGU
rnacentral:rRNA from 1 species